AGUGGCGACGGGUGAGUAACACGUGGGCAAUCUGCCCUGCACUCUGGGAAAGCCCUGGAAACGGGGUCUAAUACCGGAUAACACCCCCUCUCGCAUGGGAGGGGGUUGAAAGCUCCGGCGGUGCAGGAUGAGCCCGCGGCCUAUCAGCUUGUUGGUGAGGUAGAAGCUCACCAAGGCGACGACGGGUAGCCGGCCUGAGAGGGCGACCGGCCACACUGGGACUGAGACACGGCCCAGACUCCUACGGGAGGCAGCAGUGGGGAAUAUUGCACAAUGGGCGAAAGCCUGAUGCAGCGACGCCGCGUGAGGGAUGACGGCCUUCGGGUUGUAAACCUCUUUCAGCAGGGAAGAAGCGAAAGUGACGGUACCUGCAGAAGAAGCGCCGGCUAACUACGUGCCAGCAGCCGCGGUAAUACGUAGGGCGCAAGCGUUGUCCGGAAUUAUUGGGCGUAAAGAGCUCGUAGGCGGCUUGUCACGUCGGUUGUGAAAGCCCGGGGCUUAACCCCGGGUCUGCAGUCGAUACGGGCAGGCUAGAGUGUGGUAGGGGAGAUCGGAAUUCCUGGUGUAGCGGUGAAAUGCGCAGAUAUCAGGAGGAAACACCGGUGGCGAAGGCGGAUCUCUGGGCCAUUACUGACGCUGAAGGAGCGAAAGCGUGGGGAGCGAAACAGGAUUUAGAUACCCUGGGUAGUCCACGCCGUAAACGGUGGGAAACUA
rnacentral:rRNA from 1 species